rnacentral:rRNA from 1 species
AUUGAACGCUGGCGGCAUGCCUUACACAUGCAAGUCGGACGGCAGCGGGGGAGAAGCUUGCUUUUCCUGCCGGCGAGUGGCGAACGGGUGAGUAAUACAUCGGAACGUGCCCUGUAGUGGGGGAUAACUAGUCGAAAGAUUAGCUAAUACCGCAUACGACCUGAGGGUGAAAGUGGGGGGCCGCAAGGCCUCAUGCUAUAGGAGCGGCCGAUGUCUGAUUAGCUAGUUGGUGGGGUAAAGGCCGACCAAGGCGACGAUCAGUAGCUGGUCCGAGAGGACGAUCAGCCACACUGGGACUGAGACACGGCCCAGACUCCCACGGGAGGCAGCAGUGGGGAAUUUUGGACAAUGGGCGAAAGCCUGAUCCAGCAAUGCCGCGUGUGUGAAGAAGGCCUUCGGGUUGUAAAGCACUUUUGUCCGGAAAGAAAUGGCUCUGGUUAAUACCUGGGGUCGAUGACGGUACCGGAAGAAUAAGGACCGGCUAACUACGUGCCAGCAGCCGCAGUAA